rnacentral:rRNA from 1 species
AGUGAACGCUGGCGGUAGGCCUAACACAUGCAAGUCGAACGGCAGCACAGUAAGAGCUUGCUCUUACGGGUGGCGAGUGGCGGACGGGUGAGGAAUACAUCGGAAUCUACUUUUUCGUGGGGGAUAACGUAGGGAAACUUACGCUAAUACCGCAUACGACCUACGGGUGAAAGCAGGGGAUCUCCGGACCUGCGGCGUGUGAAUGAGCAGAUGUCGGAUUAGCAAGUUGGCGGGGUAAGGGCCCACAAAGGCGACGAUCGGUAGCUGGUCUGAGAGGAUGAUCAGCCACACUGGAACUGAGACACGGUCCAGACUCCUACGGGAGGAAGCAGUGGGGAAUAUUGGACAAUGGGCGCAAGCCUGAUCCAGCCAUACCGCGUGGGUGAAGAAGGCCUUCGGGUUGUAAAGCCCUUUUGUUGGGAAAGAAAAGCAGCAGGUUAAUACCCCGCUGUUCUGACGGUACCCAAAGAAUAAGCACCGGCUAACUUCGUG